GACGAACGCUGGCGGCGUGCUUAACACAUGCAAGUCGAACGGAAAGGCCCUGCUUGCAGGGUACUCGAGUGGCGAACGGGUGAAUAACACUUGGGUGAUCUGCCCUGCACUUCGGGAUAAGCCUGGGAAACUGGGUCUAAUACCGGAUAGGAGCCAUUUUUAGUGUGAUGGUUGGAAAGUUUUUUCGGUGUAGGAUGAGCUCGCGGCCUAUCAGCUUGUUGGUGGGGUAAUGGCCUACCAAGGCGGCGACGGGUAGCCGGCCUGAGAGGGUGGACGGCCACAUUGGGCCUGAGAUACGGCCCAGACUCCUACGGGAGGCAGCAGUGGGGAAUAUUGCACAAUGGGCGCAAGCCUGAUGCAGCGACGCCGCGUGGGGGAUGACGGCCUUCGGGUUGUAAACUCCUUUCGCUAGGGACGAAGCUUUUGUGACGGUACCUAGAUAAGAAGCACCGGCUAACUACGUG
rnacentral:rRNA from 1 species